rfam:Candidatus Nanopusillus sp. Nst1 Nst1_C2, whole genome shotgun sequence.
GUCCGGGUAGCCUAGUGGUAAGGCGUCAGGCUGUGGACCUGAAGAUCGCGGGUUCAAAUCCCGCCCCGGACC